rnacentral:lncRNA from 1 species
UGAGUGCCCAAGAGGAGGGUGUGCCAAAAAGAUCUCGCUGGCAGCGGAGCAGCUGGCCUCUGCUGCUAAUUCAGAUUGGCUGGCCCAGGAGGAUCCUAAUUACAGCACAACUGCUGUCUCCAUAAUCACUGCGGCAGGAGCCGUGCGGGCCAGAAGGCACUGAAAGGGACCUGGAUGCGGCAGCAGGAGGUACGGGGGCUGCUGCUUUCCGUCCUAGCCACUGAGUAGCACAGAGUCUACCAGAUGUCAGGGAGGAAGAAAUGGGUCAUCCUCAGAGCAGGCUUGUGCAAAUAAUGUCAUUGGCUGCCUGUGUGAGCGAUGGGAUUGCACAGAUAGGCUCAAGGAUAUCCUACUGACGGGGUUUGUGGGGAAAGCACUAGAAAUGUGGUGAGCCUACUCAGGUGUCAGGGGCUGAUUUGCUGAGCAGCAGCUAAUUGUGUGGCUGAUGGGAGCAACAAAAGCUGUCCAGGCAACUCCUGGUAAAGUGCUGUGGCUGUGUCAGACGUUUCCUGUGUGCCAGUAAGGAUGGCCACUUGCCCACCUGCACCUGCUGCUGACACGAAAUCAAAAGAAUGGAGGAAAGGACUGUGAAAUGUGUAGCUGUAUCUUUGACCUGGAGACCCAGCCUUUCCCCAAAGCCUGGUGUUUUGUGGCCCCCAGGUAUGAAUAAAGGAAGCAGGACACAGCUUCUUUCCUCCUUGUUACGAGAUUUGAGGUACCACCUCUACCAACAUACACUGAUGUGGCUCCCAGCAGAGCUGGUCUGGACCCAAGUCUCUCUGAAAUGCAAGCAGUAAACAGGAAUAAGAGAGCAUGGGGUGCGUCUGCAGUGACAAAUGUGAGAUGCUCACAGCUGGCAAGUUGUGUACCACAGUCCAGAAAAAGCUGUUGCCAUUGCUGGAGGACACAUCUGGGAGAACAGACCACGCAGGCUUUAUGCUCUGACCUGCAUUUGAGGUGCUUGUUAACGUCCUGUCUCCUUGUGACACCAGCUCAGGGAAUCCUACCAGCCUGCUGCCUCCAGGAAAGGGCUGGAGGAGAGGGUUGUGUGCUCUGCGUCAGGCUGCUCCUGCUGCACUCCAUCUGCCUUGCUUAGCUGGAGCGUUCAUUGUCAAAAGCCCUCCUGAUAGAAAACAUUCUGGCUGUAAUGAAGUAUCCACAGAGAUUAAUACAGGAUUUGUUACCUAAACAUCUCCCAAAACCACAGUACUGACUUCUGUGUCCUAAUUGUCCCGCAUCUGUUUCCAGCCUCAGAAUAUUACCUUUUAGGUAAAGGAGCUGAUGUAACCAAGCUGUCUCUUGGCAUCCAUUGCUUACUAAUGCGGCUUUUGCAUUGUUCAUGAGCUAAGGAAAUAACAUUGUGCUUUAAAGGUCCGAGGAAGCUCGGGACAGUCUGUGUUCUCUAUGACUGUAUACCUUCAGAGAGCAUUUGCAAUCCUUGUA